UCAGUCUCUCACUCUCUCUAUGGGUCUCCGUCUUCCUAUAAAAGCCAACCGCACCGUCGGCUUCAACACCAUCACCGACGGAUGAUCUCUGGAUUGCAUCCUCUCUCAGUUAUCUACUCUCUCUUUCUAGUGACUGCCACUCACAUUCUCUCCCGCUCUUUCUCCCAAACCCUACCUCUUCACCUCCGAUUUGCACCUUCAGGUUUUUCUUGGAAGAUUCCCAACCACUCUGGUCGUUGGUUUAGGUUUUGUGCAACAUCGCGUCGCUUCCGUGAAUCUUCCCCGUUAUUGCACUCUGAUUCGAAGUGGGGUUUAUGAAGAUGAGAUAUGUUUACUUGGGGU